ACCAGGGUAGCUUAGUUGGCUAGAGCAUGGCGCUGAUAAUGCCAGGGUUGCAGGUUCAAUCCCCAUAUGGGA